rnacentral:rRNA from 1 species
GCCUCAGUACGGCGAGUGAGCGGCAAAAGCUCAAAUUUGAAAUCUGGCACUUUCAGUGUCCGAGUUGUAAUUUGUAGAAGUAGUUUUGGGACUGGUCCUUAUCUAUGUUUCUUGGAACAGGACGUCAUAGAGGGUGAGAACCCCGUAUGAUGAGGCCCCCAGUCCUUUGUAAAACGCUUUCGAAGAGUCGAGUUGUUUGGGAAUGCAGCUCUAAGUGGGUGGUAAAUUCCAUCUAAAGCUAAAUAUUGGCGAGAGACCGAUAGCGAACAAGUACAGUGAUGGAAAGAUGAAAAGAACUUUGAAAAGAGAGUGAAAAAGUACGUGAAAUUGUUGAAAGGGAAGGGCAUUUGAUCAGACAUGGUGUUUUGCGCCCUUUGCUCCUUGUGGGCGGAGGAUACGCAGCUCACUGGGCCAACAUCAGUUUUGGGAGCAGGAUAAAUCUGUAGGAACGUAGCUUUCUUCGGGAAGUGUUAUAGCCUAUGGGAAUACUGCUACCUGGGACUGAGGACUGCGUCUUUUGACAAGGAUGUUGGCAUAAUGGUUAAAUGCCGCCCGUCUUGAAACACGGACCAAAA